UACAGAGGUCCCAAGCGUUGUUCGGAAUCACUGGGCUUAAAGGGCGCGUAGGCGGGCUGUCAAGUCUGGGGUGAAAUCCCGCGGCUCAACCGUGGAACUGCCUCAGAUACUGACGGCCUCGAGGGAGGUAGGGGCGAGCGGAACUAAUGGUGGAGCGGUGAAAUGCGUUGAUAUCAUUAGGAACUCCGGUGGCGAAGGCGGCUCGCUGGACCUUUUCUGACGCUGAGGCGCGAAAGCUAGGGGAGCAAACGGG
rnacentral:rRNA from 1 species